GAUUAAGUUAUUAAAGGCGCACGGUGGAUGCCUUGGCACUAGAAGCCGAUGAAGGACGUUACUAACGACGAUAUGCUUUGGGGAGCUGUAAGUAAGCUUUGAUCCAGAGAUUUCCGAAUGGGGAAACCCAGCAUGAGUUAUG
rnacentral:rRNA from 1 species